rnacentral:rRNA from 1 species
CAAUAGCGUAUAUUAAAGCUGUUGCGGUUAAAAAGCUCGUAGUUGGAUUUCUGUCUAGGACAACUGGUCCGCCCUCCGGGUGAGCACAUAGUUUGGUCUUGGCAUCUUGCUGGAAGCUGUUGCUGCACUUGGCUGUGUGGCGCAGCGUCCAGCACUUUCACUUUGAGGAAAUUGGAGUGUUUCAAGCAGGCACAUGCCUUUGGACACAGUAGCAUGGAAUAAUUAGAUUGGGCUUUUGCUCCAAUUUGUCGGUUUCUGGAGCUGAGGUGAGAAUUAAUGGGGAUUGUUGGGGGCAUCCGAAUUUAGCCGUCAGAGGUGAAAUUCUUGGAUCUGCUAAAGACGGACAACUGCGAAAGCGUUUGCCCAGGAUGUUUUCAUUGA